UGUAUUCUGUUUUCCUACUUCCUCAGUCAUUCCACUUCAUGAUCACCCUGGCAUGACUAUUUUUAGCAAAGUUCUGUAUGGUUCUUUGCAUGUGAGAGCUUACGAUUGGGUGGAGCCUUCCCACGAAAGCAAGGGAUCAAAUUACUUUCCAGGAGAUGAGAUGACUUGAAUUUUCUGGAAAUCAAUCAAGGAUAAGCUUAUUCUCCCCUUUUUGGAUUUGGACAUUAAGUACUUUGACCUUGGUCUUCCUCACCGUGAUACCAUUGAUGAUAAAGUUACCAUUGAAAGUGCAGAGGCUACUCUUAAGAGGAUUAGAAUGGGGCUGCUCUAGGUAGAAGUGUUUUGGUGUGGAUCCUAAUAUAAAUUUGAAAGUAUGCUUAGGCAGCAGCUGUGGUUGAUAGUCUGGCCAUCUUUUAGAAGUGAAGGUGCUGCAGUGCUGUUGUUUUGGCUUACUCUUGAUUGCUGCUUGGUUAUAGAUGAUGGGUUUCAUAUUGUAAUUUGAUAUUUUUCGGUUCAUAAUAAUUGCUAUAGAUGGUACUAGCUUUGGUGUGCAAUACACACCAUUUUUUUUUAAAAUGAAAUAUUCUUUUGCGACGGCAAAGUAUCCGUCGCAACCAAUUCACCCCAUUUUUUUUUAAAAAUGAAAUAUCUUUUUGCGACGGCAAAGUACCCGUCGCAAAUAGUUUAGCCAUUGCGACGGCAACAGUUUUCCGUCACAAAUAAUUUUUGCAACGGCAUUUUACCGUCGCAAAUAGAUUU